CGAAAGAAAGAUCGAGCUAGAUGAAAUCGACAAUGGCGAACAAGGAAGAAGGAGAAGGGUAAAGAGGGAGGGAGGGAGGGAGGAAGGAAGCGUGUUGCUUUUGCUUUUCUCUUUUGGAAUCCGAUUGUUGAUGCCCCUUUUUUUUUCGUCCUCCUUUUACUGCCAUUUCACUCGCUCCUCAUUGAACGCGCCACAAUCGCCUUCCUCGUCUGCGAUUUCCUUCUGCUCCCCUGCUUCCGCUAAUGCUGCGCCACCCGGCGUCGCGACGAUGGCAACAAGGCUACUGGCACUGCGGCAACAGUGAUAACAAUUAUUAGCAAGUGGCACCUCAAGCGAGCAGCGGAUGAGCUUUAAGGAGGGGGGAUCAGAUCAUUGAUUGCAGGAGCGGGACACGGGACUCCGAUGACGGCGGAGAUUGAGAGGCGAGCGCUCUACCACCAUCACCAGCUGCAACCGCCGCGCCGCCUGCCUACCUCCACGUGCGACGUCCACCCGGGCGAGACCGUCACCGGCUUCUGCGCCUCCUGCCUCCGCGAACGCCUCGCGGGCCUUGAGGCCCCCGCUGGCUCCGCCGGCCGUAGGUCCACCUCCUCCCUCCGGUCUGUCUUCCGCAAGGUCGCCACCGGUGCCGGACCCGCCGCCGGGUCUUCUUUUCUGCGCCGCUCCAAGUCCUCUUCCUUCGUCCGAGGCGAUGGUGCGGACGGGUUCUCAGCCCAGCGGCCCCCUGCCGCUGCAUUUGAGCCGCAGCGGAGGUCCUGCGACGUCCGCGGCCGUAGCACGCUGUGGUCGCUGUUUAACCAGAGCGACAGCCACUGCCGGGUGGCCGAGAACCCCUGCGCUGCACUCUCUGCUUCGAUCCUCACCAUUGCCACAGCUAAUGGUGCGUUAAAAAGCGAGGAGGAGAGCCGAAACAUAGGGGUUCCCUUUCCCGACGCUAUCUCCCCCUCCUCCGAAACACGCGAAGCGAAAGGGGAGAGCAAUGACGAGAUAAGACCCGCUGAUCCCGUUGUCGUGGUGGUCGGAAGCUCCAGGGAGAUGAAUGAGGAAAGGAAAGUGGCGAGGGUUGAGGAUAUAACGCUGGAACUGAAGCCAAUGAAGGACCACAUAGAUCUAGACUCCCAGCCACUAAGGAAGCAGGCGAAGAAGCCUCCGCCCAAGGACCUCAAGGAGAUUGCCAACAGCUUCUGGCUCGCCGCUUCCGUUUUCAGCAAAAAGCUCCAGAAAUGGCGGCGAAAGCAGAAGCUCAAGAAGCAAAACGGCGAAGCUACAGUCCGGACGGAAAAGCCGGCCAAGUUAUCCCGGAUGUUCCGCGACACGCAGUCGGAGGUCGCGGUGAAUGCCUCCGGCCGUAGAUCCUGCGACACUGACCCACGCUUCUCUCUAGACGCCGGCCGGAUGUCUUUCGACGACACCAGGUUCUCGUGGGACGAGCCUAGGGCUUCCUGGGACGGCUAUCUCAUCGGAGGCAGAUCAGUAUUCCCUCGGUUGCCUCCCAUGCUCGCAGUCGUUGAGGACGCUCCUUCGCAAACCGUGCAGCGUUCUGACUACCUAAUCCCCGUCGAGGAGGAUGCCACCACCGUCCCCGGUGGCUCGUCACAGACCCGGGACUACUAUUUGGAUUCGUCCAGCCGGCGAAGGCGAAGCCUGGACCGAUCAGCAUCCAUCCGCGAGCAGCCUCUGGAGGCCUGUGAGCUCAAACCGGUCCCAAACGGCAAGGUAUCCCUUGCCGGCGGCAUGGAAUUUUACCAAUUUAAUCCCACAACAUUGCUUGACCGGGAUGUGAAAGACUGGAAUUCCAACUCUUUGAGGGACGACUACUUAGGAAGCUUCGAAUCAGGCUUAGGGGACCAAAGAGGAGCUGCUGCCAAGAAGUCCCGGAGGUGGAGCAAAGCGUGGAACAUUUGGGGACUCAUUCAACGAAGAAAUAGUAGCAGAGGAGAUGCCAAUAUAGCUGAGAGGGCAUUGUCGGAGUCCUGGCCGGAGUUGAGCUCCAGGGGCUUAAAUAACAGGAUGCUCAGGAGCAACAGCAGUGUAAGCUCUAGGAAUUCCUUCAGUGGCAACGCUGAGUGUAAGGGCAUCAAGAAGCACAACACCAAGUCCAGCAACCAUUAUUGUAAGAAUAGCAGAGAUGAGUUUGUUCUGGAGAGGAACAAAAGUGCUAGGUACUCCCCGAACCAUCUCGACAACAACGGUCUGCUAAGGUUUUACUUGACACCAAUGCGAAAUAGCCGAAGGAACGGAGUUGCUUCUGGCAGGGGGAGGCAGAUAUCUUCACGUUACUUAACAAGGAGCAUGCUAGGACUGUAUUGAGCAAUCUGUCUGUUGCCCAAUUGAGUAUCAUCGGAUCACAUCACACUACUUUUGGCAGAGCCCUUUAGUUCCUUGAAUGUAGUAUGAUAACAUUUUGCUUUCGGAUAAAUCAAAGUCAGCUUGUGGCCGAAUUCCUGCAACGCAUGUGGGGGAAGAGGGUCUGGAACAGACAAAAGCACACGUAAAUGUGCUCUCUGGCAGAUGUUAAUGAUUGCACCUUAAAUCCAGCUCUGAAUUUGCUAUUCUGCUGGAGCAAAGACGGUCUCAUACUCUGGUACAUUUGUCUUAGCACAGCUAGCUCAUUUUACAUUUAAAAUCUAUUGGAGCAAUUUCCAUACAAAUAGAAACUGUGCCCAUAUGUGGGGGCAGGAUUUGCUAUUCUAGGACGUAGUUCAUCUGCUUAUCAAUCCAGAUUGAAAUCUUAUUUUUGAAGAGGCAAAUCCAAUGAACUGCUACUCUACAAUCCGAUGUGCAACUUGCAUCGAGUUGUUCUUUUCCUAUUCGUGCACUGUUUGAAGAUCCACUGACAGCUGAACCGAUAAUAAUAAUAA